UACGUAGGGUGCGAGCGUUGUCCGGAAUUAUUGGGCGUAAAGAGCUUGUAGGCGGUUUGUCGCGUCUGCCGUGAAAAUUCGAGGCUCAACCUCGAACUUGCGGUGGGUACGGGCAGACUAGAGUGUGGUAGGGGAGACUGGAAUUCCUGGUGUAGCGGUGGAAUGCGCAGAUAUCAGGAGGAACACCGAUGGCGAAGGCAGAUCUCUGGGCCGUAACUGACGCUGAGGAGCGAAAGCGUGGGGAGCGAACAGG
rnacentral:rRNA from 1 species